ACAGACUGCCAAAUGGAACAGACAAGCAGGUUGUCUUGUGUUAAAGAAAAUGAGAUAUAAGUCAGUUACUCCCGGAGGCAAUGCUGCUGUUCAGCUCUUCUGUUUUUGUGGCCAGGGUCUUCAUGAACACUAAUAGGGGUACCAGGCCCUCUUCCUCGUUAGAAGAAAUCAGGAUAACAAAGGCAUAUUGGGCACCCCUACAAAAGGAAUCUGUAUCUGUAUCAAGAUGAUCUGAAGAACAGCUUCUACCUUUAGGAAUGUCUAGUGUUCCAAAAUGACUAGCAUCUUCCAUUUUGCCAUUAUCUUCAUGUUAAUACUUCAGAUCAGAAUACAAUUAUCUGAAGAAAGUGAAUUUUUAGUUGAUAGGUCAAAAAACGGUCUCAUCCACGUUCCUAAAGACCUAUCCCAGAAAACAACAAUCUUAAAUAUAUCGCAAAAUUAUAUAUCUGAGCUUUGGACUUCUGACAUCUUAUCACUGUCAAAACUGAGGAUUUUGAUAAUUUCUCAUAAUAGAAUCCAGUAUCUUGAUAUCAGUGUUUUCAAAUUCAACCAGGAAUUGGAAUACUUGGAUUUGUCCCACAACAAGUUGGUGAAGAUUUCUUGCCACCCUACUGUGAACCUCAAGCACUUGGACCUGUCAUUUAAUGCAUUUGAUGCCCUGCCUAUAUGCAAAGAGUUUGGCAAUAUGUCUCAACUAAAAUUUCUGGGGUUGAGCACCACACACUUAGAAAAAUCUAGUGUGCUGCCAAUUGCUCAUUUGAAUAUCAGCAAGGUCUUGCUGGUCUUAGGAGAGACUUAUGGGGAAAAAGAAGACCCUGAGGGCCUUCAAGACUUUAACACUGAGAGUCUGCACAUUGUGUUCCCCACAAACAAAGAAUUCCAUUUUAUUUUGGAUGUGUCAGUCAAGACUGUAGCAAAUCUGGAACUAUCUAAUAUCAAAUGUGUGCUAGAAGAUAACAAAUGUUCUUACUUCCUAAGUAUUCUGGCGAAACUUCAAACAAAUCCAAAGUUAUCAAAUCUUACCUUAAACAACAUUGAAACAACUUGGAAUUCUUUCAUUAGGAUCCUCCAGCUGGUUUGGCAUACAACUGUAUGGUAUUUCUCAAUUUCAAACGUGAAGCUACAGGGUCAGCUGGACUUCAGAGAUUUUGAUUAUUCUGGCACUUCCUUGAAGGCCUUGUCUAUACACCAAGUUGUCAGCGAUGUGUUCGGUUUUCCGCAAAGUUAUAUCUAUGAAAUCUUUUCGAAUAUGAACAUCAAAAAUUUCACAGUGUCUGGUACACGCAUGGUCCACAUGCUUUGCCCAUCCAAAAUUAGCCCGUUCCUGCAUUUGGAUUUUUCCAAUAAUCUCUUAACAGACACGGUUUUUGAAAAUUGUGGGCACCUUACUGAGUUGGAGACACUUAUUUUACAAAUGAAUCAAUUAAAAGAACUUUCAAAAAUAGCUGAAAUGACUACACAGAUGAAGUCUCUGCAACAAUUGGAUAUUAGCCAGAAUUCUGUAAGCUAUGAUGAAAAGAAAGGAGACUGUUCUUGGACUAAAAGUUUAUUAAGUUUAAAUAUGUCUUCAAAUAUACUUACUGACACUAUUUUCAGAUGUUUACCUCCCAGGAUCAAGGUACUUGAUCUUCACAGCAAUAAAAUAAAGAGCAUUCCUAAACAAGUCGUAAAACUGGAAGCUUUGCAAGAACUCAAUGUUGCUUUCAAUUCUUUAACUGACCUUCCUGGAUGUGGCAGCUUUAGCAGCCUUUCUGUAUUGAUCAUUGAUCACAAUUCAGUUUCCCACCCAUCGGCUGAUUUCUUCCAGAGCUGCCAGAAGAUGAGGUCAAUAAAAGCAGGGGACAAUCCAUUCCAAUGUACCUGUGAGCUAGGAGAAUUUGUCAAAAAUAUAGACCAAGUAUCAAGUGAAGUGUUAGAGGGCUGGCCUGAUUCUUAUAAGUGUGACUACCCGGAAAGUUAUAGAGGAACCCUACUAAAGGACUUUCACAUGUCUGAAUUAUCCUGCAACAUAACUCUGCUGAUCGUCACCAUCGUUGCCACCAUGCUGGUGUUGGCUGUGACUGUGACCUCCCUCUGCAGCUACUUGGAUCUGCCCUGGUAUCUCAGGAUGGUGUGCCAGUGGACCCAGACCCGGCGCAGGGCCAGGAACAUACCCUUAGAAGAACUCCAAAGAAAUCUCCAGUUUCAUGCAUUUAUUUCAUAUAGUGGGCACGAUUCUUUCUGGGUGAAGAAUGAAUUAUUGCCAAACCUAGAGAAAGAAGGUAUGCAGAUUUGCCUUCAUGAGAGAAACUUUGUUCCUGGCAAGAGCAUUGUGGAAAAUAUCAUCACCUGCAUUGAGAAGAGUUACAAGUCCAUCUUUGUUUUGUCUCCCAACUUUGUCCAGAGUGAAUGGUGCCAUUAUGAACUCUACUUUGCCCAUCACAAUCUCUUUCAUGAAGGAUCUAAUAGCUUAAUCCUGAUCUUGCUGGAACCCAUUCCGCAGUACUCCAUUCCUAGCAGUUAUCACAAGCUCAAAAGUCUCAUGGCCAGGAGGACUUAUUUGGAAUGGCCCAAGGAAAAGAGCAAACGUGGCCUUUUUUGGGCUAACUUAAGGGCAGCCAUUAAUAUUAAGCUGACAGAGCAAGCAAAGAAAUAGAUUACACAUCAAGUGAAAAAUAUUCCUCCUGUUGAUAUUGCUGCUUUUGGAAGUUCCAACAAUGACUUUAUUUUGCAUCAGCAUAGAUGUAAACACAAUUGAAAACAGUUCCUCCUGAGGAUUUCAGAGAAGAGCUGGACUUCCUGGCUGACUCUCACAUUCUCUUCUUCUGAACUGCUUCUUCUGGUAGCUCCCUGUCACUUUGGACAAGCUCGCACUGCCCUCCUUGGCUGUUCUGGAACUGUGUGAUGGACUUCAUCCUACUAGGACACAGUUGCUUCUUGAAUUCCCCAGAUAAACACCCACCCGUGUGAAUGACAAGCCAUAAUAAAAAUUAAUUGUCAAAAUUAAUCAACAAGGUCCCAAACAAGAUUGAGAGCCAGGGGACAGAAGUGCCACCGGUAAUUAUAUAGUCACAGGCAGACCUAUGAGGAUGUUCAUCUUUCCUCUAAGACAACUUGAAGUUACAGACGUUUCUUAGAACUUAAAAAGUUUGAUAGCCCCUUACCCAAAGAAAUAGAAGCAUUGGAAAAUAUGUUAAAGAAAUUUCUAUGAAAUUAGAACAAAAUGACUUAUUUUGCAAGAGAAAAAAUAAGUAAAAGCCUAACUCUGAGAAGUCCACAUCCAUCUAAUAGGUGUUCCAGAAUCAGAAAAAGAGAUGAGGUGAAGACAUUAUCAAAAAAAAUAAUAAUAAUAAGACGGAGAAAUCCCACUGAAGGACAUGAAUCUCCUAAAAGUACCCAGCAAAACGAACAGUUCAAAGACCCAAACCAAGGCACUUUCUCUUGAAAUUUUAGACCAUCAGGAACAACAAUAGUAAAAGCUUCCAGAGAGAGAGAAAGAAAAAAGAAACCAGGUUACAUACAAAGAAUCAGAAAUCAGAAUAACCAUGCAUCUCUCAGUACAAUGCUAGAAGCUAGAACUUACAGAACAAUACCUUCAAAAUUGUAUAGAAAAAUCAUUUGCAACAUAUAACUUUAUAUCCAGCCAAACAGUCAAUCAAAUAUGAGGCAUGACAUGUAAGUUCUCCCUCCAAAUUAACCAUCAAUGCAUUCUUUCGGGAAACUACUGGAUGAUGAAUUCCACUAUAACAGAUAAAAACCAAGAAAGGAGAUGCUGUGCAUCCCAAGAAACGAGAGAUCUAAUACAGCAGAGAGGAGCAACAGCUUUCCAGGAUAGCAACAACUCAAAGUCAGAGGAUGUCAGCUCUGCAGAAAUCCAAUGCAUGCUGGAGCAAAAUGACAGACAGUAAUUUGAGAGAGGUGAUUGUUUAUUUGAUAGAUUUCAUUAUAUUACAUUUUUUGACUUGAGAGCUAUUUGGGAAUGUGAGGAAAAUUAUCAUAGAAGCAUUGAAAACUAACAAAAUAAAAUACAAGGCAAUUAUUAACUACAAGAAAACCAAAAAGCAUAAUCAUAGACUGUAAUCAUAGUGUAUAAUGUAGCUUUUAGUGAGGCCCAACAUUACAUAGAUCAUAAUAAUGUAAACACUGAACAUCAAUUUAACCAAAAGUAAGAGUUCAUAUAUAAAUCUCUGCCAAAAUAUUGCUCUUUUAAAAAGUAAACCAUUGAGGCCUGAUGCAGUGGCUCAUGCCUGUAUUCCCAGCACUUUGGGAGGCCGAGGCAGGUGGAUCACCCGAGGUCAAGAGUUCAAGACCAACCUGGGUAACAUGGUGAAACCCCGGCUCUACUAAAAAUACAAAAAUUAGCCGGGCAUGGUUGUGCGUGCCUGUAAUCUCAGCUACUUGGGAGGCUGAAACAUGAGAAUCACUUGAACCUGGAAGGCGAUCACAUCGUUGCACUCUAGCCUGAGCGGCAGAGCUAGACUCCAGCUCAACAAAAAAAAAAGAAAAGAAAAAGAAAAAAAAAGUAAACCAUUGAGUUAGAUAAAUGCUUUCUUUUUAAAUCAGAUAUAAAUGAUACCAGCUGCUGUAGUGUGCUGGUAAAUGUUUAACAACAGAUUCGCAGAAAAACAAAAUGCUUUGACAAAUUAUUAACAUUUUCUUCAUUACUUUUGUAAGUCUAGAAAAUUAACAAAACAAUAACUAAAGUCCUAAUUUAUAGUGUUUGCCAAUUUUAUGGUGUAAAUACUCCUACCAUGGUUGAUUUCAAGGUACCAACAUGACAUCGCUGAAGGUGGAGUUGGAAAGAAAAGUGCAGUAUACCAUUCAUUGUAAAGUGUUUCCACCAUAACAGAUACAGUAGACAAAAAUAACUCCCAGAACAUAAUGAUGGUAAAUAUACAGUCAAAUAAUUAGGAAGUGAUGAGUUCUGAGUAUUUACUACUUUUGUUUUAAAUAUAGCUUUAUUUAUUUAUUUAUUUAUUUUAGAGAUAGAGUCUUGCUGUGCCACUUGUGCUGGAGUGCAGUGGCACAAUCAUAGCUCACUGUAACAUCAAACUCCUCAGCUCCAGAGAUCCUCUUGCCUCAGCCUCCCGAGUAGCUAGGAAUAUGGGCAUGCCACUACACCUGGCUCAUUUAAAAAUUUUUUUGUAGAGACGGGGUCUUGCUAUGUUGCCCAGGCUGGCCUUGAACUCCUGGCUUCAAAGGAUCCUCCUGCCUUGGCCUCCCAAAGUACUGGGAUUACACACGAGUCACUGCACUUGGCCCUAAAUAUAGUUUAUUUAAAUGCAGGUAUAUAUGAUUUCAUUUUUAAUAAUGAUUAUUUUUAACAACUGGCUCACAAAAUUCUUGAAAAUUAAAAAUUGGCUCUUAUGAGCUGGUAUAAGCUGGCUCUAGCAGAGCCCUGGACGUAUUGAAAUAUAUCUUAGUAAGCAUGAUUCAGUGUAUAAUUGUUCAUAUUCAGUGCAAGCAACAAUGGCAUGUGGCUUGGAUGCAAACAAGGAAAUCCAGGGGAAUUCCUCAAGCUGACAUGUCUUUUUGGAUAUUUGUUAUAUGAUUAAGUCUUGGAAUUCUGCCUAAGAGCAAUGCUAAGCAACUAAUUAAUAAAGUUAUAAUAAUACCUAGACCAGGAUGAGAAAUCCAGGCUUUCCUCUUUUUGUCUGUACUCUUUUCUCUUUACCGCUCCCUUGUUUAGCCUUGUAUUUUAUUUUCUCCCUUCCUUUUCUCUCCAUUUCUCUCUUGUUCUUUGCCUUCCAUCCUAAUUUUCUCUAUUUGUGUUUCCCUUGUUCUUUCUCUUUUUUGCUUUUCCCUUUUGAUCCUCUCCUCCCAGUGCUUUUCUCUUCCAUUUCUCUCUUUCCUCUUUAAUUUUUCUUUCAUAUUUAUUUGUCCUCCUUUUCUUCCCCAUGUCACUUCUAAUAGAUACACAUAUUCCUUCUCUGCCCCUAAAGCCUUUGGGAUAAUUUCUGAGGACGUGGGUUCUAAGUGAUGGCUCUUACAACAGGACCAUUCCCAGAGUGAGCAGGGUCAGUUGAGAGGGGAAGUGGGAGCGGGAGUCAGGGGUAGCACAUGGGAAAAUGAGAGAUGAGAAAUGUCAAUAUUUGGUAUCAUUAGGGAAAGUUUCGUGGGUGCAUUAGAGUUCAAGUUUGUUGGCUCAUUGUAGGACUGUCAUUUAUUAACCUAAGGCUCUAGUCCUGUUUGUGUAAUAUGGUAGCCACUAGCCGUAUGUGGCUAUGGAAUGCUUGAAAAGUGACAAACCUGAAUUGAAAUGUGCUGUAAGUGUAAAACACACACCAAAUUUCAAAGACAUUAUAUAAAAAAAGAAUGUCAAAUAUCUUGCUAGUAAUUUUUUAUAUUGAGUACUUGCGAAAUAAUAUUUUAAUGUGGUGAAUUAUAUAAAAUAUAUUAUUAAAAUUAAUUUCACCUCU